rnacentral:rRNA from 1 species
CAGCAGCCGCGGGAAUACGGAGGGGGCUAGCGUUGUUCGGAAUUACUGGGCGUAAAGCGUACGUAGGCGGCUUUGUAAGUUAGAGGUGAAAGCCUGGAGCUCAACUCCAGAAUUGCCUUUAAGACUGCAUCGCUUGAACGUCGGAGAGGUGAGUGGAAUUCCGAGUGUAGAGGUGAAAUUCGUAGAUAUUCGGAAGAACACCAGUGGCGAAGGCGGCUCACUGGACGACUGUUGACGCUGAGGUACGAAAGCGUGGGGAGCAAACAGGAUUAGAUACCCGCGUAGUCCCUGUCUCUUAUAC